UAUGUAUGUGUUGAAAAAAAAAGAGAAGGUAGAAGGAACAAAAAAAAAGGGGGUGGAAGGUUGUUGUUUCUAAGUCCCACAUUGGUUAGAUGAGGGAAGAGAAGAGGUGCCUUCAUGUAUAAAAAGGAGGGGGUGUGUGCAUUAGGAAGCAUGAGAGGCUGAGAUGCAAUUUAGAGGAAAUUGCAACUUUUGGCCCAAAGGUUUGAAUAAUUAAAUUCAAACCUAUAGUUUUUUUUAAUAUAAUUUUGGGACUCACAAUCCCAUUUUUAUAUUAUUUUUCUCUCUUCCUCUCACGUUGCUCGGCGUUUUCUCGCAAGGGGGGAUUAUUUUCUUUUUCUUCAGAUUAUAUUGACAAAGAUAGUGGUGAAAAAGGAGUUGUGAAGGGGAACUUGUUAUUCAAGACACAAGGAGCGAAUCCGGCCGAGAAAGCACCAGAGGUGUAAUUAUGGUGUAUGAGACACCAUCUUUUACGUUGCCUCUUAUUUUGGAUUAUACAAUGUAUCUUGUGCCAACUUAGGACAUA